rnacentral:rRNA from 1 species
UGCCGGCGACCGGCGCACGGGUGCGUAACGCGUAUGCAACUUACCUAUCAGAGGGGGAUAGCCCGGCGAAAGUCGGAUUAAUACCCCAUAAAACAGGGGUCCCGCAUGGGAAUAUUUGUUAAAGAUUCAUCGCUGAUAGAUAGGCAUGCGUUUCAUUAGGCAGUUGGCGGGGUAACGGCCCACCAAACCGACGAUGGAUAGGGGUUCUGGGAGGAAGGUCCCCCACAUUGGUACUGAGACACGGACCAA